GACGAACGCUGGCGGCGUGCUUAACACAUGCAAGUCGAACGGUAAGGCCCCUUCGGGGGUACACGAGUGGCGAACGGGUGAGUAACACGUGAGCAACCUGCCCUUGACUCUGGAAUAACAGUUGGAAACAGCUGCUAAUACUGGAUAUUCAUCGUCUCCUUCCUGGGGGGUGGUGGAAAGCUCCGGCGGUCAGGGAUGGGCGCGCGGCCUAUCAGCUUGUUGGUGAGGUAAUGGCUCACCAAGGCUUCGACGGGUAGCCGGCCUGAGAGGGCGACCGGCCACACUGGGACUGAGAUACGGCCCAGACUCCUACGGGAGGCAGCAGUGGGGAAUAUUGCACAAUGGGCGCAAGCCUGAUGCAGCAACGCCGCGUGCGGGAUGACGGCCUUCGGGUUGUAAACCGCUUUCAGUAGGGACGAAGGGUGACUGACGGUACCUACAGAAGAAGGACCGGCUAACUACGUG
rnacentral:rRNA from 1 species